rnacentral:lncRNA from 1 species
UCCUUUUAAACUACUGCGCAAAAAAUAUGCUCAUCGCAAUUCUUCAAGGAAUGCAUUAACAUCUAAAUUGCACUUACAAUUUACAAACGAUUUACAAAACAAUUCACAAAACAACUAACUUAUAUUUUAACAAAAAGAAUCACCGUAGUCAUAACGAAGCUCGGUUCCUGAAGGAAUAAAAUUUUUUGAGAAA